UACGUAGGGUGCAAGCGUUAAUCGGAAUUACUGGGCGUAAAGCGUGCGCAGGCGGUUAUGUAAGACAGAUGUGAAAUGCCCGGGCUUAACCUGGGAACUGCAUUUGUGACUGCAUGGCUAGAGUUUGGCAGAGGGGGGUAGAAUUCCACGUGUAGCAGUGAAAUGCGUAGAUAUAGGGAAGAACACCAAUAAAGGCGGAGGCAGUUAACUAGUCUAUUCCUGACAUUGAGGCAUGAAAGCGUGGGGAGCAAAACGG
rnacentral:rRNA from 1 species